GUGGCGGACGGGUGAGUAAUGCUUGGGAAUCUGGCUUAUGGAGGGGGAUAACUGUGGGAAACUGCAGCUAAUACCGCGUAUUCUCUGAGGAGGAAAGGGUGGGACCUUAGGGCCACCUGCCAUAAGAUGAGCCCAAGUGGGAUUAGGUAGUUGGUGGGGUAAAGGCCUACCAAGCCUGCGAUCUCUAGCUGGUCUGAGAGGAUGACCAGCCACACUGGAACUGAGACACGGUCCAGACUCCUACGGGAGGCAGCAGUGGGGAAUAUUGCGCAAUGGGGGGAACCCUGACGCAGCCAUGCCGCGUGAAUGAAGAAGGCCUUCGGGUUGUAAAGUUCUUUCGGUAAUGAGGAAGGGAUGUUGUUAAAUAGAUAGCAUCAUCGACGUUAAUUACAGAAGAAGCACCGGCUAACUCCGUGCCAGCAGCCGCGGUAAUACGGAGGGUGCGAGCGUUAAUCGGAAUAACUGGGCGUAAAGGGCACGCAGGCGGACUUUUAAGUGAGAUGUGAAAUCCCCGAGCUUAACUUGGGAACUGCAUUUCAGACUGGGAGUCUAGAGUACUUUAGGGAGGGGUAGAAUUCCACGUGUAGCGGUGAAAUGCGUAGAGAUGUGGAGGAAUACCGAAGGCGAAGGCAGCCCCUUGGGAAUGUACUGACGCUCAUGUGCGAAAGCGUGGGGAGCAAACAGGAUUAGAUACCCUGGU
rnacentral:rRNA from 1 species